ensembl:lncRNA
AAAUACCACCUACCCGUCUCUUCCUUGUUCUCACUGAUCUCCAGGCUGUUCCCAAGCAGUAUUCCUCAGAGAAAGACUUUAUUUCCAGGGGUGGUGAAGUGACUAAUUCAAGAUCAAACAGUGGGGCAGUAGCAGAGGCAGGAACCGAAAUUGGGUCUUCUGACUCAAGUUUCUCUUGGCUGCAGCCCCUGGGCUACAAGACAGAACUCAUCAGCACAAAUGAUGGCACUGAUGGCAUGUUGACUAAAACACCUCUAUUUGCUGCAGCUUCCCAGCGAGGGCUGGUGAGAACUGAGCCAUGAGCAGCCCAGCAUGCUGGUACGGCACUGUAUGAGUAUCCAUAAACAUGACUGUCAACGUAGACUUCAUAAAUUGAUGAAAGCCCACAAACCAAAUAUGGGCCUUCUUGUUAAACUUUGGGGCAAUCUGCACUUGGAAAACCUCAUGGUGACUGCUGUAGGAUGACUGCUUUUGUACUUGUAUAUGUGUGUGCAUGUAGAGAUGGCCCACAGCGAAUGCAGAGCACUUGUAGUACCUCUAGGUUGCCCAGAAAAGUUGUGGAGUCUCCAUCCUUGGAGACUAAAAUCUGUUUGUACGUGAUCCAGCUCUGGGUGGCCCUCCUUGAGCAGGGGUUGGACCAGAUGACCAGAUGUCCCUGUCAACCUCAGCCAGUCUGUGAUCCUAGGCUCUAGGAAAAAUGCCUCAAAUCAUGUGAUAAAUAAAAUACAGGAGAGAGAGCAAAAGGUCAACUGGCAGCCUCCAAAAAUUGUAUGAAGGGUUCAGCUGGACGUUUUUAGAGCCAUAAGUUGAAGUGGAUCCUACCAAAAGCUGUUGAGAUGGAAGCCUGCAUUUGAUUCAGUGGCCACCCCUAAUGAGGGAUGCAGACCCAGAUUUUUGAAAGAUGCACAGAGUUUGCUUGCCUCCAGUUCUGGAUGCCAGCAACCUGUUUUUGCAGAGGCGCUGAGCUGUUUUUUUGAUCUCAGUAGGAGUUCUGGGUGCAUAAUAUUCAUGCAAAUCAGGCUGUAGGUAUCUGAAGUCAGGCAGCCAAAAACACAGGCGCCCCAGAUUUCCAGGCCUCUUAGUAUGUAAAUACAGCUCAAAAAUCUUUCGGCAUUUCAGUUUCCCAUGUUGAUAAAGCUGCACCUCGAAAGUGUUCCUCAAAUAGAUCCUGGGAAGAUAGUGAAGAGAUCAUCUAUCAGGAGAAAAAAGCAUCCCAGCCAGUGCCAUCCAGACUUAUUGCAUUAUUGUCAAGAAAAUGAGGAUCAAAGACCUUGAUUUACUUCUGACUCUCCUUGCUCAUCAUAAGUUCCUGAACAUAUUGGGUAUUUUUCUGUGGCCCCAGAUGUCCAGAACAAAAGUACGUACCUUGAAGAAGUGCUUUGAGCUGUUAUAACGUCUGCAAUUUUUUUUGUGAUCAAAUUUCUGCUGAUGUGGCUAAUUUGGCUAAAGGGAAUAUUUGGGGGAGAAGUGGUGGUUCAAGUCAAAGAAAAUAAUUUUAUUUCUUCUAGAAAAAUAAUUAAAACAAACAAACAAACAAAAACCAAUAAGAAAUACUCUACUUGAUCCAGAAUGGUAUAGUCUCCUUACUCCUGUUACUUAAAACCCCCUUGUACAAAUUCGUGCCAAUUUUUGAAUGUACAUUUCCACCCUGAGGUUUCCAUUUGACAUUUCAGUAUCUGUAUAUCUGUAUUUCAUUUUCAAGUACACCAGACUAAAGUUUUUCAGUGC